UUAACUAAGCUGUAUGGAAUUGGCGUUUGGAAAAAAUAUCAAGUACAGUUUUGCUUUGGCUGGGCUAAAUAACCACAGUAUCAGCGAAAAGAGAGGCAAAGUGGGUGUGUCUCUGAGGUGAGGGAGUGGGCAGAGAAUGCAGAUCUGAAGGCUGCAGUUUAUGGCGAGUUGUUAGCAGUAAACAGCUUCCCAGGAGACAAAACUAAAGCCUGGGAAUUGGAUUCUCUUUGAAUGAAAGAUCUGCGUUUUUCCAGAUGGACGAGGAUAAAAUGGAAGAUGCUGUUUUGUUUGGUUCUGUUAUAUUUUUCCAUGCUGAAGAAGACAUACAAAUGACCAGCAGGAAUAUGAAAAGGUGCUCAACAUCAGUAAUCAUCAGGCUGCCAUGAGGUAAGCAGGUUUGCUCUGCCUUGCCCUUCCACUAUGUGGUUAGGUCUGCCUCACCACAGUCCACUGCAAGGAGUCAGCAGACCAUGGGCCAAGAUCUCUGAAAUGGUGAGCCAAAAUAAAAUUUUACUCCUUUAAGUUGAUUUUCUCAGAUAUGUUAUC